GAUGAAGAACGUAGCGAAGUGCGAUAAGUAGUGUGAAUUGCAGAAUUCCGUGAAUCAUCGAAUCUUUGAACGCAAAUUGCACUCUCUGGUAUUCCGGAGAGUAUGCCUAUUUGAGGGUCGAUUGAAUAAAAAAUCGAAGUGUUUGCUUUAGGGCAACGCGUCGGAAUUGGGUUGUCUUAACCUUUUGAGGUUAAGUGACCUAAAAUUUACACGUUUCGGUAUGAUUACGUACUUAUCAUCAACGUUUGUCGUUUGAAUGCCGAUUUUUUAUUAGGUCGUGACCAUCGAUUGGUACACGUCCCAUAAUCUUUUUGAUUAAUGACCUCAAAUUAGGUAAGAGUACCCGCUGAACUUAAGCAUAUCAAUAAGCGGAGGA
rnacentral:misc_RNA from 1 species